CUCCGAAAGGAGUCUUCCGCAAGGACACUCGUAGAGGUGCUGCAUGGCUGUCGUCAGCUCGUGUCGUGAGAUGUUGGGUUAAGUCCCCGCAACGAGCGCAACCCUUGUCUUCUGUUGCCAUCAGGUUAUGCUGGGCACUCUGAAGAGACUGCCGGUGAUAAACCGGAGGAAGGUGGGGAUGACGUCAAGUCAGCAUGGCCUUUAUGUCUGGGGCUACACACGUGCUACAAUGGCAGAUACAAACCGUCGCGAGACCGCAAGGUGGAGCUAAUCGGAGAAAGUCUGUCUCAGUUCGGAUAGCAGGCUGCAACUCGCCUGCUUGAAGUUGGAAUCGCUAGUAAUCGCGGAUCAGCACGCCGCGGUGAAUACGUUCCCGGGCCUUGUACACACCGCCCGUCACAUCACGAAAGCCGGUUGUACUAGAAGUCGCCACACUAACCCGCAAGGGAGGGAGGCGCCUAAGGUAUGGUCGGUGAUUGGGGUGAAGUCGUAACAAGGUAGGCGUAGAUGA
rnacentral:rRNA from 1 species